AUGGGAAGCUGGCUACAGAGAAUCAAAGAUGCUGCUUUUCAGGCUGAGGAUGUUCUUGAUUCAUUUCACUGUCUAGUUCUUCAAGCACAAGAUGAAGACAAGGGCAAGGUUAGUUCUGUUACUUCACCCACAGCUGGUUCUUCCUCUACAUCCACAACCGUCACCACCACUGCUUCUACCAUCACUAGCAGCGGCUCAACGGUAAAACAGCCGGUUUGUGUACGCAAGCGCUUCCAUUUCUCCGAUGAACAUAUCAACGAGUUAAUUUCUGCAGUGGAUAGAUUAGUUGAGAUUGAAAGUGAGAUGCCCAUGUUCCUGAAGUUAGUGGAGCUAGAGGACAAGAGAACAGACCAACCCAUUCAGUUGCGGACAACAACCUCCAUGCAAGGCCUCUCAAAGUUUUUUGGUCGAGUUAAUGAAGAGGAACACCUAGGGCAAUUACUUACCCAGGUAAACGAACAAUCCAGUCAGCCAUAUGAUGUUAUAUCAAUUGUUGGCAUUGGUGGUGUUGGUAAGACUGCUUUAGUGCAGAAAAUUUAUUGCCACUUCCGUGCUAAAAGUGACUUCAGUCUCGCAAUAUGGCUACAUGUCUCAGAAAAUUUUGAUGUCGGACGUCUAACAAAAGAAAUGGUACAGUCAGGUAAUCUCCCCAUAUGUGCUGACUUGAAAAGCAUCAGUAGUUUAGAUCAAGCUCAAUGGAUACUUGAAGAAAAGCUGAAAGGGAAAAGGAUUUUGAUAGUCCUUGAUGAUGUAUGGAAUGAAUUUAGCAGCCAAUGGGAGAACUUAUGCAAACCCCUGCAGUUUGCUGGUAAGGGAAGCAAAGUAAUUGUUACGACUCGAAGUAAAAGUCUUGCAAGUAUCAAUGGAGCAACAGAGAUAAUGCACUUACAUGGCUUACAAGAUGAAGAAUACUGGGGGCAUUUUUCCCAAUGUGCGUUUGGUGAUGCAAAUCCAUUUGAUUUUCCACAACUGGAAAAAAUUGGCCGAAAAGUGGUGAGCAAAUUGGCAGGGUCACCUUUAGCAGCGAAGACAGUUGGGGCUUCAUUGAAACUGAAGCUAGAAGAAAAUCACUGGAUGGAUGUUGGCGGAAGGAAAUUGUGGCAGAUAGAGCAAAAGGAAGAUGAUAUUAUAUCAGCAUUGCGACCAAGUUAUGAGCAUCUUCCUGACCAUUUGAAGCAAUGCUUUGUUUACUUUGCAUUGUUUCCUAAGAAAUACCACCUUCAAGGAGAUGAGCUAAUACAGAUGUGGAGAGCUCAUGGUUUCCUUGACAUGCAAACACCAGAUGAAACUGCACGUCGUUACAUCAACGAUCUCUUGCAGCUUUUAUUCAUUGAGAAGGUACCCAACCAAGAGGACCACUAUGUAGUUCACGACUUGCUACAUGAUUUUGCAGAGUCGGUGUCCAAUGGAGAACACUUCCGAAUAGAAGAUGACUUCAAUGUAUGUAUUCCAAGAAAUGUUCGCCACCUAUAUGUCAGUGCAAGCAAUAUCUUAAAGCUGUACAUGAGUUUGGAAGAAUUAAAGAAAAAUCUGAGAAGCUUAAUAAUAAGCAAGGCACCAGAAGGUGCUUCUUGCGAAAGGGUCUCCUCGUCAAACUUUAAUCAUGUACUUGAACAUAUACUCCAAGAGCUAAGAAGCUUACGCGUUUUAGUACUGUGCAAUCCUGAUGGUAUGCUUCCAGACAGUCUUGAUCAUUUGGUCCAUCUUAGGUAUCUAAACAUCCAUGAAAGUAGAAGCUUCAUCAGUGUCCCCAAGUCACUAUUCAAACUCUACCAUUUACAAGGGUUGAGUCUGCAAACUCAAGACAGGAUCAUGAAAAAGGAACUCCAAGAGGGCAUAAGUAGGUUGACACAGUUAAGAUACUUAAAGGCUCCGAAGAAAAUAAUUUCAGACAUAGAAUUGAUUGGCAGGCCGAGAUCCCUCAAAAGAACUAGAGGAGAACAAAGUGAAGAGUAA
rnacentral:rRNA from 1 species